UGCAGUUUUCCGUUGAGUUUGUCGUUGUAGUGUCCUCGUUUUUUCUGUUCCUUUUCCGUUUGGUUUUGUGUCCGUUGUUCGUUCUUUGUUUUAGAGUUUUAGUGUCGUGUCAAGGAAGGGAGUUGCUUCUAGUGGCUGAAUUUCACCAUUAAUUUCUUCUCUUAUGUCAUACUUGAGGACAAGUAUGAUCUAAGUGUGAGGGGAUUUGAU
rnacentral:lncRNA from 1 species